rnacentral:lncRNA from 1 species
UUUUUAUUUUUGUUAUGUUUUAUUUUCUUUGUAUUUUUAGAUAUUUGGUUAUGUACUUUUGGGGUGUUUUGUCCCCCACGCACAUUUUAAAAUUUUGAAGUAAUAGUUUUUUUUUAUGUUUUAAAUUAUUGUGUUUGGUUUAAUUUCUUUUGUUUAAUAAUUUUUUGGUUGUUAAGUGUCAAACCUUCUAGAUUGGUUGCUCCUCA